rnacentral:rRNA from 1 species
GGAGAAAAGUAGGGGAUCGCAAGACCUUGCGCUUUUGGAGCGGCCGAUGCCUGAUUAGCUUGUUGGUAAGGUAAAAGCUUACCAAGGCUUCGAUCAGUAGCUGGUCUGAGAGGACGACCAGCCACACUGGGACUGAGACACGGCCCAGACUCCUACGGGAGGCAGCAGUGGGGAAUUUUGGACAAUGGGGGCAACCCUGAUCCAGCCAUGCCGCGUGAGUGAAGAAGGCCUUCGGGUUGUAAAGCUCUUUCAGCCGGAACGAAACGGUUACGGUUAAUACCCGUGACUACUGACGGUACCGGAAGAAGAAGCACCGGCUAACUACGUGCCAGCAGCCGCGGUAAUACGUAGGGUGCGAGCGUUAAUCGGAAUUACUGGGCGUAAAGCGUGCGCAGGUGGUUUUGUAAGUCAGAUGUGAAAGCCCCGGGCUCAGCCUGGGAACUGCGUUUGAAACUACAAAGCUAG